UUGGCAAAAGCUUGGUGGUAGAGGCAAUGUGGCAAUUUGGCGGGGGGGAGGGGUGCUCAGCCCCCUGCACUGCUCCUGGUGCCGGGUAACCCUGCACGACCAGUGAUGUGGCAGCAGUGUCUGCUCAAGGCUCCCUCCCCGGCGAGGGGCAGCUGGGCAGGCAGCCACAGCGGUGCCUGGUUUCUCUCCAGCCAGGCCCCAGCUCCACGGGCACAAGCCAAACUCCACACGAGAGGAGCCUGCGGAGAUGUGCAAGCACUUGGGACCUGCGAGACUGCCUGUCCUGGCACCCUCAGGGCCUCCAUGGAUCUUGUUAGCCUCAUGCCAAAGUCUUGGCUGAAAAUGUGCCCAAAGGCAGCAGAGUGGGACCAAGGGUUUGGGAAAGUAGAGGGAGGGGCAGCUAACGUCUGGGUGGGCAGCGGGGCAGAACAGAAGGGUGAAAGCAUCUGGGGUACUGGAGGUGUUCAAAGCCUCCCUUCCACUGCAGGCAGUGCACACACCUGAACACUAACACCUACCGAAGCCGGAACUGAAACUCAACAAGUAAACCCUGCACCAGAGAGAGGAAAACAGCCCCUGCAAGCAGAAGGCAACAAUUCCCUCGGUGGGAUGUGAGGCGCCAGACUGCAAACCCAAAGAGACGCUGACUUGUGCUCUCUGCAACCAAGCAAACCAAGCAAAAGGCUGGCGAUCUGGCGUGGGCUCACCCAAAGCUUCCCUAGACAGCAGGGCUCUCUCCUGCUCUGCUCCAGCACCGCCCGAAGGAUGGCGGGACCCUCAAUGUCCCAGCCUCCGCAUGAACCAUCCACAGCAAUGACCUUCCCAGCUUGCCUGCCCCCGGGGGGGCCCUCCGCAGCACGGCCAUUCUGGGGUGGGUUGAAGACGUGGCGUUUAUUGUUCAUUGUGGGCUGGAAGGCGGUGGCGACGCGUGGCGAGGGCUGCCUCCGAAGCCGUUCUCCCACCGCAACACGCUGCGUUACUCACUGAGGGGCUCUCCUCCCUGCUCGGCCCCCUCAGCCCUCCUGGGCCCAUUUGAGGAAGGUGGGGAUGUCCCGCACGGGCACGUUGCGGGUCAGCGCUUUGACUCGCAGGUUCCGGUCGUCUGUGAGCAAAACCACUUCUCUGAGCAACCGGAUCGGAUCAUCUGGAACGAGAGAGAGACCAGAGUGGAGCCUGGACCUGCUCCGCACCCAGCCCCUGUACCGCCACCUCUCUCACCCCACGCUGUCCCCAUGCCAUGCUCCGUGCGGGCCAGGCACAGCACCCUCCUCUGAGAGCACAGUCUCCCAGCACCCAGGCAGUGCUCCUAGCUCCAAGGGUCAGCCCUGCUGCCUGCCAAGGCUUCCCACCCUGGCUCAGAGAAGACCCUUCACCUCAAAGGACUUCUCCCAGCCCCUUGAAGAUCUGAUUCACUAUCCCCGCCUGCAGCCUGCCCCUUGCACCUUCCCAGAGCUGAGAAGGCCGAGAAGCAGAGCCAGGUCUCAGCACUACCCACUGCCCGUGCUGGGGUGGUGUGUGAAGCGGCAGCCAGGGAACAGGAGGUACCUUUGCCUGACCCAGGCCAGGAAGACGGCCUGCGACCCUGGCUCCAGCAGGAAGCUGGUGCUAUUAUUCUGGUGAUCUCAUUAUAAGAUCUAAAACUAGCCCUUAUUUUGAGAAGCUUUUGGAGUAGCCACUAACACUGAGGCAUUUCUGGCUUAUGCUCAGACAGACAGAAAGAGCUGAAGCCUGAGAAAUAACUGAAGGGAUCUUGCCCCCAGAUGGAUGAGCUGCCCCGCACGCAACAUGCCGGGCCGGGGAUGUGGGAGCUACGCUUACGUGUGUGUGAAGCAGGGGAAGCAUAUGGGGUAUGUGUAAGCAGCUGGGUCCUGUGACCAGAGUACUGUUCCUAUGAGCACAGGAAACACAGUGCCUCCGAGCCAGGACUGGAAUGGAAAAAACAGAGUUUAUGGGAGCCCAACAUGGGCCCAGAUUGGCUGCGCUGGGAGCAGCAGGCUGAGGGGAAGGGGAGGUUCACGAGGAACACGGGCUAGGAUCGUGGCGUCGGAGCUGAGGAUGGAGGGCAGAGCGCUCCGGGCUGCCUGGGCCAGGAGGAAGGGGUGCGCGGCCCGUCCGCGGGGAGCAGGGUGUUGGGGUGGCCGCGCACGAGGGCAGUCCUGGGGCUGAGGGCUGCUGAAAGCAGGAUUGGGAAGUUUUGUGCGGACACUUUAAGAAAUGUGUAACAAUAAACAUCCUCUGCUCGGA